rnacentral:rRNA from 1 species
GAUGGUAGUGUAUUGGACUACCAUGGCUUUAACGGGUAACGGAGGAUUAGGGUUCGAUUCCGGAGAGGGAGCCUGAGAAACGGCUACCACAUCUAAGGAAGGCAGCAGGCGCGUAAAUUACCCAAUCGCGACUCGCGGAGGUAGUGACAAGAAAUAACGGACCGAAGCCUAUGUUUCGGGAUUGCAAUGAGUAGAAUUUAAACCCCUUUACGAGGAUCAAUUGGAGGGCAAGUCUGGUGCCAGCAGCCGCGGUAAUA